UGCCAGCAGCCGCGGUAAUACGUAGGGUGCAAGCGUUAAUCGGAAUUACUGGGCGUAAAGCGUGCGCAGGCGGUUUUGUAAGUCUGACGUGAAAUCCCCGGGCUCAACCUGGGAAUUGCGUUGGAGACUGCAAGGCUGGAGUCUGGCAGAGGGGGGUAGAAUUCCGCGUGUAGCAGUGAAAUGCGUAGAUAUGCGGAGGAACACCGAUGGCGAAGGCAAUCCCCUGGGCCUGUACUGACGCUCAUGCACGAAAGCGUGGGGAGCAAACAGGAUUAGAUACCCUGGUAGUCCAAUCACUAG
rnacentral:rRNA from 1 species